rnacentral:rRNA from 1 species
GAUGAACGCUGACAGAAUGCUUAACACAUGCAAGUCUUUGGCGAAGCUGUGCUUGCACAGCCUAGCCAGGUCGGACGGGUGAGUAACGCGUCAGGAACUUGCCCUGCAGUCAGGGAUAACAGACGGAAACGACUGAUAAGACCUGGUAAAGUCAGGCGGACUCAUGUCUAGCCUGAUGAAAAGUGAUGCUGCAGGAGAGCCUUGCGUCCUAUUAGCUUGUUGGUGGGGUAACGGCCCACCAAGGCGAUGAUAGGUAGCCGGCCUGAGAGGGUGGACGGCCACAAGGGGACUGAGAGACGGCCCUAACGCCUACGGGAGGCAGCAGUGGGGAAUAUUGGACAAUGGGGGCAACACUGAUCCGGCAAUUCUGUGUGCACGAUGAAGGUUUUCGGAUUGUAAAGUGCUUUCAGCAGGGAAGAAAAAAAUGACGGUACCUGCAGAAGAAGCGACGGCUAAAUACGUG